rnacentral:rRNA from 1 species
AUGGCGAGGGCAACGACACUGGUGCUCGUGGCCGCGCUCGCCGUCCUCCUCCUCGCCUCAGGCCCCGCGGGCGCCACGGCCGCCCGAACCUCGCCCAAGGACGUGGCAACGGCAUCUCCCAACGAGAAGGUCGCGGCGGCGGCGGCGGAAGACCACGAGUGCGAGAUGAUGGCCGGCGAGAAGCAGCGGGAUGAGUGCAUGGCGAGAAGGACGCUCGCCGCGCACACGGACUACAUCUACACCCAGGAGAAGCACAACUAG